UCUUCGAUGGUCUAGUGGUCAUGAUUUCCGCUUGUCAUUUGGGCUCAAAUAUCAAGCGCGGGAGACCGGGGUUCGAUUCCCCGUCGGAGAG
rnacentral:tRNA from 1 species